rnacentral:lncRNA from 1 species
CUGCUUUCAGUUUCCUAGUGGAAAGAAAAAGUGGAGUAUAAGUAAUAAUAAUAAUAAUAAUAAUGAUAAUAAGCUCAAUGGAGGCAACACCAUCAAGGCCAUAAACACCUGGGCCAUACCUGUCAUAAGAUAUACUGCUGGCAUUAUAUCUUAUGACAGGUAUGGCCCAGGUGUUUAAUAAAGAAUUUUUAGAUGAGUAAGAGGGGCAUUAGUAGUGUCUCAGAAUAAAGGAUGAAGAA